rnacentral:rRNA from 1 species
AACGAACGCUGGCGGCAUGCCUAACACAUGCAAGUCGAACGAUCCCUUCGGGGAUAGUGGCGCACGGGUGCGUAACGCGUGGGAAUCUGCCCUUGGGUUCGGAAUAACAGUUAGAAAUGACUGCUAAUACCGGAUGAUAUCUUCGGACCAAAGAUUUAUCGCCCAGGGAUGAGCCCGCGUAGGAUUAGGUAGUUGGUGGGGUAAUGGCCUACCAAGCCGACGAUCCUUAGCUGGUCUGAGAGGAUGAUCAGCCACACUGGGACUGAGACACGGCCCAGACUCCUACGGGAGGCAGCAGUGGGGAAUAUUGGACAAUGGGCGCAAGCCUGAUCCAGCAAUGCCGCGUGAGUGAUGAAGGCCUUAGGGUUGUAAAGCUCUUUUACCAGGGAUGAUAAUGACAGUACCUGGAGAAUAAGCUCCGGCUAACUCCGUGCCAGCCGCCGCGGUAA